UUACUCUGAUUUCCCUUCAGAUGUCGAAUACAUCUUUCGCCUUUUACUAAAGAUUUCCUUGGAGAGGAAUACUCUAAUGAGUCUAAAGUAAAUUUUUGUUUGUUGCCGGUCGCCAAGA
rnacentral:snRNA from 1 species